AUGUAUAUCCUACCGGAAGGUGUUGAUGGCUCCUUCGAUAAGGAGCUCGCAAGGUUCUUCUGGCAGGCCACAGACGGCCGCCAGAAAUAUCACAUGGUCAAAUGGGCAGGUAUCUGCAGUCCCAAGGGCCAGGGUGGGCUGGGCAUUAUGGCGUCCUGUCGCAUGAACGUUGCACUUAUGCUAUGAUGGGUGUGGCAUGUCAUGCGCGGCGAGGCAGGACUAUGGCUACGGCUGAUUCAAGCAGAGAGGUGA
rnacentral:rRNA from 1 species